rnacentral:rRNA from 1 species
CCUACGGGAGACAACAGUGGGGAAUAUUGCACAAUGGGGGAAACCCUGAUGCAGCGACGCCGCGUGAGUGAAGAAGGCCUUCGUUAUGUAAAGCUCUAUUAGCAGGGAAGAAAAUUACGGUACCUGAGUAAUCAUCCCCUGCUAACUUCGUGCCAGCAGCCGCGGUCAUACGGAGGGAGCACGCGUUAUCCGGAUAUACUGGGUGUAACGUGAGCGUAGACGGUAGUGCAAGUCUGGAGUGAAAGGCGGGGGCUCAACCCCAGGACUGCUCUGGAAACUGUACGGCUGGAGUGCAGGAGAGGUAAGUGGAAUUCCUAGUGUAGCGGUGAAAUGCGUAGAUAUUAGGAGGAACACCAGUGGCGAAGGCGGCUUACUGGACUGUAACUGACGUUGAGGCUCGAAAGCGUGGGGAGCAAACAGGAUUAGAUACCCUGGUAGUC